AGGGACAAGCUGUGACAAAGGAAGAUAACUAUGGCUCUAAACCGGUAAUGCUUUGUGUGUUUAUUUUAUUGGGUAAGAAUGGUUUUGGUACAAUGUAAUGAAAACUUUAAUAUGUUUUUACUUUUUGGUCAUAAUAAUCUUUUUUAUGUUUCGUUGGAGGUUUGGACCAAGUAAAGCGAAAUUGUUGAAUUGAAAGCGAACUUGACAUAAUGUCUCUUGACAACAAGAACUGGUGCAAAUUGAGAAAGGCGGUCUGAUUCUAAGUCCGGAAGAAUUGCUUCAGUUAACUUCUGAUUUUGGAGAAAAAACUAUCAUUAAAGUGGCGAAAAUAUGUAUUUUGCUUAAAAAGUGGAUAAGGAGCAGGUGUUACUUUAUGAUGCUAGGGCUUCAAGAACUGAAAUCGAAGCUCAAACUUCAUACUUUGGGUUAGUGAAAAAAGGAUGAUGAGAAUGUGACAACCCAGUCAAAGAAAGAACAAAGCGAGUUCUGAAGCCAGUGGCUCAGAGGAAAGCGACUAUGAUGAGGAGAGAGGCAUAAUUCUAAUUACACUGCUCGAUUUUACUUUAGAGAUUCCAGUACUCCGGCUGAUGGGAGCACUUUACAUGGAAAUCAAGCCCGUCCUUAAAAUGAUAGUAAGGUAUGCUUAGUGAUGGAGUCAUGAGUAUCACCAUGAUCUAUUAAGUAUGGUGUGCCUUUCUGUGUUUUUUAUAAUAAGUGAAAGGCCUUGGUGAGCGAGUUUCUUGCACGGGCAGCUCGAGUCUUUUAAUCUCAUACUUGGUAUUGAUAUCACUAAGAGCAAUGAAUGGACAGUAUCGUCAAAUGAUUCUCAUAUGGGAUUCUAACAUUUACUUGAAAUCGUCAUGUGGUUUAUCUUUUGGCAAAAGGAACAGAUUAUACAGAAAAAGUUUGAGUCAGUUAAAUACAAUAUAAGGUGAAGGCUUACAGGAGGCUUGGGAUGUAGUUCGUGAUAGAACUGAUUGAGAUGCAAUCGGUAAAUGUAUACGGAUCGAGGUGCUAACUGAGUCGAAAAACGCAUUAGGCAAAACAUUACAUUGAGUUAUUUUUCAGAUGGAAGGUGGGUGAAUGUAUGACAUUGAUGCAGCUGCUGACAUUGUUCGAGUGGACGAUACAUUAAGUUAGUCUCUCGUGUGUAGACUGUGUAGUAGUCCUCUUAUACACAAAUGGAUUCUCGUGAGGAAGGGACCAAGGCUUCUGAUUGAGGUGGAAAUAAUCAUUUUCAUCUCUUAUCAUUUUCAGAAAACAUAGAAAUAUGUAAGGUUAAAUUUUUCAUGCAUCAACUUUUGCUCAGUCAAGAAGACUCUCAUAUUUAUUUUGAGUAUUUCUUUUUUCAACUUAUUAAGUGAUAGUUAUCAGUUAUUUCUUUUUA